AGUAACGGCGAGUGAAGCGGCAACAGCUCAAAUUUGAAAUCUGGCUCUCGGGCCCGAGUUGUAAUUUGUAGAGGAUGCUUUUGAUGCGGUGCCUUCCGAGUUCCCUGGAACGGGACGCCAUAGAGGGUGAGAGCCCCGUCUGGUUGGAUGCCAAAUCUCUGUAAAGUUCCUUCAACGAGUCGAGUUGUUUGG
rnacentral:rRNA from 1 species